CCCUUAGAUGUUCUGGGCCGCACGCGCGCUACACUGACUGCUCCAACAAGUUACCUGGGCUGACAAGCAUCCGGGAAAUCUUGCAAAGGCAGUCGUGAUGGGGAUAGAUUCUUGUAAUUUUUGAUCUUCAACGAGGAAUUCCUAGUAAACGCAAGUCAUCAGCUUGCAUUGAUUACGUCCCUGCCCUUUGUACACACCGCCCGUCGCAUCUACCGAUUGAAUGGAGAGGCAAAAUCUUCGGACCGUGACGCUUGGGAGUCAAGUCUCGGGCUGUCGUGGGAAGUGGAUUAAACCUUUCUAUUUAGAGGAAGGUAAAGUCGUAACA
rnacentral:rRNA from 1 species